rnacentral:rRNA from 1 species
CUGGAGGUAUCAGAAGUGCGAAUGCUGACAUAAGUAACGAUAAAGCGGGUGAAAAGCCCGCUCGCCGGAAGACCAAGGGUUCCUGUCCAACGUUAAUCGGGGCAGGGUGAGUCGACCCCUAAGGCGAGGCCGAAAGGCGUAGUCGAUGGGAAACGGGUUAAUAUUCCCGUACUUGGUGUUACUGCGAAGGGGGGACGGAGAAGGCUAUGUUGGCCGGGCGACGGUUGUCCCGGUUUAAGCGUGUAGGUGUGUGUUCCAGGUAAAUCCGGUUCACUUUAACACUGAGGCGUGAUGACGAGGCACUACGGUGCUGAAGCAACAAAUGCCCUGCUUCCAGGAAAAGCCUCUAAGCAUCAGGUAACAUCAAAUCGUACCCCAAACCGACACAGGUGGUCAGGUAGAGAAUACCAAGGCGCUUGAGAGAACUCGGGUGAAGGAACUAGGCAAAAUGGUGCCGUAACUUCGGGAGAAGGCACGCUGACAUGUAGGUGAAGUGAUUUACUCAUGGAGCUGAAGUCAGUCGAAGAUACCAGCUGGCUGCAACUGUUUAUUAAAAACACAGCACUGUGCAAACACGAAAGUGGACGUAUACGGUGUGACGCCUGCCCGGUGCCGGAAGGUUAAUUGAUGGGGUCAGCGCAAGCGAAGCUCCUGAUCGAAGCCCCGGUAAACGGCGGCCGUAACUAUAACGGUCCUAAGGUAGCGAAAUUCCUUGUCGGGUAAGUUCCGACCUGCACGAAUGGCGUAAUGAUGGCCAGGCUGUCUCCACCCGAGACUCAGUGAAAUUGAACUCGCUGUGAAGAUGCAGUGUACCCGCGGCAAGACGGAAAGACCCCGUGAACCUUUACUAUAGCUUGACACUGAACAUUGAGCCUUGAUGUGUAGGAUAGGUGGGAGGCUUUGAAGUGUGGACGCCAGUCUGCAUGGAGCCGACCUUGAAAUACCACCCUUUAAUGUUUGAUGUUCUAACGUGGACCCGUGAUCCGGGUUGCGGACAGUGUCUGGUGGGUAGUUUGACUGGGGCGGUCUCCUCCUAAAGAGUAACGGAGGAGCACGAAGGUUGGCUAAUCCUGGUCGGACAUCAGGAGGUUAGUGCAAUGGCAUAAGCCAGCUUGACUGCGAGCGUGACGGCGCGAGCAGGUGCGAAAGCAGGUCAUAGUGAUCCGGUGGUUCUGAAUGGAAGGGCCAUCGCUCAACGGAUAAAAGGUACUCCGGGGAUAACAGGCUGAUACCGCCCAAGAGUUCAUAUCGACGGCGGUGUUUGGCACCUCGAUGUCGGCUCAUCACAUCCUGGGGCUGAAGUAGGUCCCAAGGGUAUGGCUGUUCGCCAUUUAAAGUGGUACGCGAGCUGGGUUUAGAACGUCGUGAGACAGUUCGGUCCCUAUCUGCCGUGGGCGCUGGAGAACUGAGGGGGGCUGCUCCUAGUACGAGAGGACCGGAGUGGACGCAUCACUGGUGUUCGGGUUGUCAUGCCAAUGGCACUGCCCGGUAGCUAAAUGCGGAAGAGAUAAGUGCUGAAAGCAUCUAAGCACGAAACUUGCCCCGA